UCAAUUCCUUACCUGCUGGCUUAAAAUUGUAGGUGCUUUUAUGAUCGUAAGAUCAUAUAUUCACUGACUGGAGCUUUCGGUUUUGUUUUCUUUAGAAGGCAAGCCCAAAAGAGGUGUGCAGUACCCAUCAACUCUGACCUAUUCGUCUUCUGAAAGCACAGUCACUAAAGGAAAUUCAUUACGGAAAGGAUCUCAGACAUCUGUUGCUCCAUUACCAGCUACACAUGGUGCCACUCGUACAUUCAAACCCUUUACGACCACAACCGAAUUUGUCAGCACAACUCCAAAGACAGCCACCACUUCGACCACCAUUGCACCGAUGACCUUCACCAAAGUGACAACUGUUACAGUGGCAAAGCCUCUCAUUGCAGUGCACAAGGUCAGGGAUCUGGGCUCUAGCAAUGUCCAUCCAGUUUAUUCAGCGGUGGCAGCAGCAGCAGUAUCAAG
rnacentral:lncRNA from 1 species